CCAUCAAUCCAAACGAAGCAGGUCAUUUAAUCUGCUUUUAAAUGGAUUACUAAAAUAUAAACCCAAUCCAUCCCAUUUAUAUGGUGGGGUGGGUCAAUCCAAUGGAUUUAAUCCAAAUUGACAGCUUUAUUCUAUAACGAUAAUUAAAAAAUUUAAAAAUUUUUGAACGAACGAUGGCUUAUAAAACUAAUGUUAUUUUCUCUUUGUGCUCGU
rnacentral:lncRNA from 1 species